AAAGGACCUGCUGACCCAUUCUCUAACAGGUAAAAAAAAAAAUUCAAAUAAUUUCUUCACAUCUACCCAUUCUUCUUACCAACUCCCGCCGUCCACUGCCACUCUCUUCCACAAAUCGAUCAAACCGUCGCCACCUCCUACCCUCAGAUUGACCACCUGCUGCCUGCCACCUCUCCCUCAAAUACACCACCCAUUGCCAUUUCCCUGCUUCAGAUCCACUACUCAUGGUCGUUGAUCUACAGAAAUAGAGAGUGGAUGGUGCUGCUACGAGAGGAGUAGGGGUCCAAUAGAUAGUGUUGAGGAGUGUACUGAAGCUUGAGUUCUGAUCCCUUCCUCUUCUCAUCUCAUUCUUAUCAGUUAUGAUUCUUGCAUCCUUCCGAGCUAUGGAGAUGGAGGUGUAGGUGAGGAAAGCAAUGGUACAUUGGCGAUGAAGGUGAAGAUGAUGAAGCAAAGAGCGGAGACGGUGGGUGCACUAGUGAUGGAACGAAUAGAGAGAGAAAGGGGAAGAAGGGGAAGAUGGAGACAGAUAAAGGGCCAAAAUCUUCUCAUUCAAGAGUCAGUAAAAAUUCCAUUCCAAUUGAACACUCAAUUCAUAAAGGCGCACUAACUAUACAAGUUGAAACAAGGGCCCUCUUACCACAGAACAAAAUGUAUACAACAAUUUCUAAAUCUCCGUCAUCGUCGAUGGUAGUCGGUGGUUGCGAGAGGAGAGAGGAAGGCAAGUUGCGAGAGGAGAUUGGUGGCCGGAUGUCAUUGCCAGUAGUCAUCAUCGCGAGAGAUGAGAGAGAGAAGAGAAGAGGUCGGAUCUCGUUGGAGACCGAGGAAAGAGAGCACGGUUAGGAAGAGAGAAGAUAUAUAUAUAUAUAGAGAGAGAGAGAGAGAGAGAGGAGCGUAGGUGCCUUCACGUGGGUCUCAGCCACAUCAUUGGGGAUGGAAAUAGAGAGAUGAAUCAUUUUUCAAUGUCACAAUCUGCACUUCAUGAUAUAUAUUCUAGUGAAGAAAUUUUUUUCAAUGUGCA